rnacentral:rRNA from 1 species
CAUGCCAAUGGCACUGCCCGGUAGCUAAAUGCGGAAGAGAUAAGUGCUGAAAGCAUCUAAGCACGAAACUUGCCCCGAGAUGAGUUCUCCCUGAGACUUAGAGUCUCCUGAAGGAACGUUGAAGACGACGACGUUGAUAGGCCGGGUGUGUAAGCGCAGCGAUGCGUUGAGCUAACCGGUACUAAUGAACCGUGAGGCUUA